rnacentral:rRNA from 1 species
AUUGAACGCUGGCGGCAGGCCUAACACACGCAAGUCGAGCGGAUGAAGGGAGCUUGCUCCUGGAUUCAGCGGCGGACGGGUGAGUAAUGCCUAGGAAUCUGCCUGGUAGUGGGGGAUAACGUCCGGAAACGGGCGCUAAUACCGCAUACGUCCUGAGGGAGAAAGUGGGGGAUCUUCGGACCUCACGCUAUCAGAUGAGCCUAGGUCGGAUUAGCUAGUUGGUGGGGUAAAGGCCUACCAAGGCGACGAUCCGUAACUGGUCUGAGAGGAUGAUCAGUCACACUGGAACUGAGACACGGUCCAGACUCCUACGGGAGGCAGCAGUGGGGAAUAUUGGACAAUGGGCGAAAGCCUGAUCCAGCCAUGCCGCGUGUGUGAAGAAGGUCUUCGGAUUGUAAAGCUCUUUAAGUUGGGAGGAAGGGCAGUAAGUUAAUACCUUGCUGUUUUGACGUUACCAACAGAAUAAGCACCGGCUAACUUCGUG